rnacentral:rRNA from 1 species
UACAGAGGGUGCGAGCGUUGUUCGGAAUCAUUGGGCGUAAAGCGCUUGUAGGCGGCUUGUUAAGUCGCGUGUGAAAUCCCUUGGCUCAACCAAGGAAGUGCGCGCGAAACUGGCGAGCUCGAGUGCCGGAGAGGGUCGCGGAAUUCCCGGUGUAGAGGUGAAAUUCGUAGAUAUCGGGAGGAACACCGGCGGCGAAGGCGGCGACCUGGGUCGACACUGACGCUGAGGCGCGAAAGCGUGGGGAGCAAACAGG